UACAGAGGGGGCAAGCGUUGUUCGGAAUUACUGGGCGUAAAGGGCGCGUAGGCGGCCUCUUAAGUCGAACGUGAAAUCCCCGGGCUCAACCCGGGAACUGCGUCCGAUACUGGGAGGCUUGAAUCCGGGAGAGGGAUGUGGAAUUCCAGGUGUAGCGGUGAAAUGCGUAGAUAUCUGGAGGAACACCGGUGGCGAAGGCGGCAUCCUGGACCGGUAUUGACGCUGAGGCGCGAAAGCGUGGGGAGCAAACGGG
rnacentral:rRNA from 1 species